rnacentral:rRNA from 1 species
CCGCAUACGCCCUACGGGGGAAAGAUUUAUCGGGGAAGGAUUGGCCCGCGUUGGAUUAGCUAGUUGGUGGGGUAAAGGCCUACCAAGGCGACGAUCCAUAGCUGGUCUGAGAGGAUGAUCAGCCACAUUGGGACUGAGACACGGCCCAAACUCCUACGGGAGGCAGCAGUGGGGAAUAUUGGACAAUGGGCGCAAGCCUGAUCCAGCCAUGCCGCGUGAGUGAUGAAGGCCUUAGGGUUGUAAAGCUCUUUCACCGGAGAAGAUAAUGACGGUAUCCGGAGAAGAAGCCCCGGCUAACUUCGUGCCAGCAGCCGCGGUAAUACGAAGGGGGCUAGCGUUGUUCGGAAUUACUGGGCGUAAAGCGCACGUAGGCGGAUAUUUAAGUCAGGGGUGAAAUCCCAGAGCUCAACUCUGGAACUGCCUUUGAUACUGGGUAUCUUGAGUAUGGAAGAGGUAAGUGGAAUUCCGAGUGUAGAGGUGAAAUUCGUAGAUAUUCGGAGGAACACCAGUGGCGAAGGCGGCUUACUGGUCCAUUACUGACGCUGAGGUGCGAAAGCGUGGGG